UACGGAGGAUUCAAGCGUUAUCCGGAUUUACUGGGUGUAAAGGGAGCGUAGACGGUGAAGCAAGUCUGAAGUGAAAGGCGGGGGCUCAACCCCCGGACUGCUUUGGAAACUGUUUGACUGGAGUGCAGGAGAGGUAAGUGGAAUUCCUAGUGUAGCGGUGAAAUGCGUAGAUAUUAGGAGGAACACCAGUGGCGAAGGCGGCUUGCUGGACGAUGACUGACGGUGAGGCGCGAAAGCGUGGGGAGCAAACAGG
rnacentral:rRNA from 1 species